UCUCCUGCACAAACUUCUGGUAUGUAGCAAUCGGGAUUUGAUUUCCUGAAGGAGAGGAUGAUGGAGCUCAUCAUAAGAGCAUAAUCAUUUUCUCUUCCUUUGGCAGUACGGGCACCCGAGGGCCAGCCUGCUUUUGAGGAACAGCAUGAGGAUGUCGGUGUCGAUGCUCAGCAGUGGAAGGAAGCUUCUUUUGGAGGCCAAGAAGAUGAAAAGUGGGCCCGGCAUUGAAGGUGACAGUUCCCAGCCAUCGGGGACGGACCGAGUAUGCGAGCAGGCGCCUGACGCGGCCACUGACCCGGGAGGCACGGAUCGGGAGGCGCCGUAGGUGGCGGCGGCCACGACAUCCAGCCUCAUUAGAGCGUGGGCGAGCGGAAGUUCACGGCGCUUCCGAGGAGGCUGUCGUUGCGGAAGUGGCCGGCGUUGAGUGGUGCGACGCUGAGUGAUGGCACCGCACGUUUGGAGAUGAAGAGUGUCCGUGUGACCGCAGCCCCAUCCUACGUAGCCUGUGUGGCCUUUUUAAAGGAUGGCUUUUGAGCCCCCGGA